AUUAAUACAUUAAUUGAAAAAAAAUAAAAGGGGAUUAGGGUUGUUACUCUGUGACGUUUCAGAUUACGUCUUCUUCCUCUCACCGCGAGAACGGCGCCGGAACACUCCCUCACCGAUUCUCUCCGAUCAAGUCUCUCCUCUCUCCUCUCCGAUCAACUCUCCGGCAGCCGUGAAUCAAUGAAAAUAGAACAACCUCAUCUCUUCUCUCGUCCUCACUCCCGAGCGACAAUGGGCGAUAUGAGCCUCUCUUCCUCGGCAUGAACGGCGAUGACGGCGACGGUGGAGUCUCAUUCUCCGUUUUGCUCUAUAUCUCAACCUCUCAUCCUUCGUCUCUCCCUCUGCCCCAAUCUCUCGUUCGUCUCCAAUUCAAUCCCUCAAUUUCUUGAACGAAAUCGAAGCCGUUGGGAAAUCCGGAGGAAAUCCUCAGAACUCAGGUCAAAGAACGUUGGUUGAAGAUAACGCAUGGAAUUUGAAGCUUAUUGAUCAAUGAAGAUGACGAUUGAUGUUGAAUGGUGAACGCUACGAUUCGGUUAUCGUGAAGAUUUUCUGGAAUUGCUAUGAUUAUGGAGAUGAUGAUGAUGGUGGAGGGUGAAGGUUCAGGGAAUUGAAGAGUGUUGAAGAAAGAACUGAUGGGUUCUGUUAUGGUUCAGUUACAGAUUGGUGCACCAUUGAAGUAAGAUGGAGAGACGAUGACCAACCGUGUUGCUCGAUCAUGAAGGACCUUUAUUGAUGUUGAAGAUGCAAUGCAUUGGAGAUGAAGGAAGAAGUACGUCUUGGGACAACCGAAGUUAGGUCCAUAGUCGGGGUCCUUAGCCGACUAUGCAAAAAUGUAUUUUUUCCUUGUAAUACUUUCUUGACUUUAUUUUGUAAUGGAUUCUUGUGGUCAUGGUAAUGAAAUGGUUCUUUAAUAGAAUUUGGAUUUUUGGACAUGAUUGAAAGUGUAAUGUGAAAGAACUUUGUAAAAGGGCAUUGAAUGGUGUAUUCUUUUUUGUAUGAUUUUUUGUGAAUAAGAAUUGUUUGAAUGGUUCACGGAUGCUUAUCGAAAUAAAUUUGUAAUAAUUUUUGUAUGGAGUGUAAUGGAAGUGCAAUGUAAUUGGCUUUGUAAUGAAGUUUUCCUCCUUUGUGAUGAUUCUCUUACAAUUUCAAACUUUGAAA